CGCUGCCGUAGCCUCGACGAUGCACGGAAAUAUUUCGACGAGAUGUUCUCUCAAGUCGGGAUUUGCUGGAACUCGCUCCCUCAGAGUGGAUCCGGCAAGCAAGCGCUGCAAAUCUUCCCCGAGAUAGAUCUCGUUGGUCGGAAAAAGUCAACGUGCGUCCAUGGCAGUCCAAGGGAUGGCGCUUUGCGUGACGAUGGUAAGAGCCUGAAAGGUGCAAACUUCAAAUCAAAUCAAAAAGUAAGAUCCCAGCCACCAAUAGCUUUUGCAAAAAAUUUCUCCUGUUUCGCCAUCGCUCCUAGAAAUCUUACUACUGCUGCUGGAUCAGUGGCAAUUGGCUCCUGUGCCACAAACUUGGACACCCCCUCUAGCUGAAAUUCAAGGACAUCACAUAGAAAAUGGAGUGCAAUGAUCGAGAUACUUUCCUAGACAAGGCUGCAUUGCUGCAAGUUUCAGCUCCUCUCCUCGUCCAAACCUGUUGAUGUUCAAGCGAGCAAUGCUGAGACGUGUUAGUCUCGGCUAGAUGGACACACUGACCAUGAUUAUCGUGGCUGCUGCUGUUCAAGCACUCCAGCUCCAAGAUGCCACUGACACAUCCAAUUCCAUAAAGACCCACCCGUCCACAUACGGGCCCGGCAAGUCUGGACUAGGUCGACCACUGUCUUUUGGUCUCUGGAAAGCUGCGGGAUGGAGAAAGAGGGAGAAAUUCCAAUAUCGCGGAGAAACC
rnacentral:lncRNA from 1 species